AGAGGCCAUGCUUCAGGUUGGACCGUCUUCCAUAUAUCUACUGACUUCAUAUAAAUGAAAGUGUACUAAGGACUCGCUGAUCUGCACUACCAGCUCAUGUUCAACGUUACUGAACAACAAAGUAAUCCGACAAUCAGACUGGACCCGGUCACGUUAGAUGCCAGAGGAAGACGAAAACAUAACUGAUCCUCCACUGAUGCACGACUUCGCCCGGAACGCGGCAAGAACCAACAAUGGAAGAAAAUACUAUAGACGUGUUUAUUAACAAUAAAGUUAUUUUAGUUUUUAUGAAAUAGCGAUUGAAUAAAAAUAUUAGGUAUAUGAGUUUUAUUUAGAGAUGAAAUAAGUCAGAAAUA
rnacentral:lncRNA from 1 species